UACGUAGGGUGCAAGCGUUGUCCGGAAUUAUUGGGCGUAAAGAGCUCGUAGGCGGUCUGUCGCGUCGGCUGUGAAAACCUGGGGCUUAACUCCGGGCCUGCAGCCGAUACGGGCAGACUAGAGUUCGGCAGGGGAGACUGGAAUUCCUGGUGUAGCGGUGAAAUGCGCAGAUAUCAGGAGGAACACCGGUGGCGAAGGCGGGUCUCUGGGCCGAUACUGACGCUGAGGCGCGAGAGCGCGGGGAGCGAACGGG
rnacentral:rRNA from 1 species